GUCAGUUUGGCCGAGUGGUUAAGGCGACAGACUAGAAAUCUGUUGGGUUAUACCCGCGCAGGUUCAAAUCCUGCAGCUGACG
rnacentral:tRNA from 3 species